GACGCACCGGGAUGCGGCUCACCUGACACUCUGCAGCAACCCUGACCAAGGAGGAAAAAGAAAAGAAAGGAAGAAAGAAAGAAAAGAAAAGUCAACUAAGCCAAAAUAAAAUAGGUCCCCAAGGCAACGCGCACCCAGCCCAGAUGCCCCUAAGGAAAGCCCGGAACCCGGUCGCCACCAGCGAUAGGCGGAGGCCGUCACCUGCCAAGCGAGGCCGCGGCAAGGGGCCCGGGCUUCCCGGCCUCUGAGAGGAGCGGCCCGCCCGCCCCGCGGCGGAGGCAGGAACCCCGGGGCCGGAGGUUUCCGCCCGGCACGGCCGUCCUCGGCCGGGGCCUAGGGCGGGGGCCGCACGCGCUUCCGAGGACUGAACCCGGCGGUGCGCGGCGCGCAGCCCCCUCUGCCCGGCCCGUGGAACCCCGGGGGCGGCGGCGGCCGCACCUGCCCCGCGCCCCUCGGCCGCGCCGACGGGCGGCUUCACCCACCUGGCGCCUCGCGCACGUCCCGGCGCGACCCCGCGCGCUCCUCGACACCGGCGCGUGGGCGCGGCCAAGCUCCGGGAAGACCCUGCCGUGCCGCGGCCGCCGCCGCCGGGUCAGUCGUCAGGCCGGCCGCAGCGAACCUGUUGCGCAGCCUGUCACGGCUGCUGGGCUCUCAGCCGGCGCCGCCUCAGCCCCACAACAACAUGGCGGCCGCGGCCUCCGCAGGAAGCCGGGGGGCGGGGAGGCGAGCGACGGGCGGGCAGUGACGGCCCGCCCGCCUAGCCGCGGGACACCUACUCCUCACCGUGGGGAGCGUGACACUGCGUGGCGCUCCUCCUCGCCCCCGGAACCGUGGAAGGCGUGGGCCGAAAUGCUUCUCCUCCCGCCAGGUCCCGAAGCUCCGCGGCUGACAGCCCUUCCAGGAGCUGCCAAGACCCCCCACCUGGCUCCUCCUCUUCGAGGUGACUUGCCGGGGACUGGGUGGGACAUUUCCUGCCACAGGACCCUAAGGUUUUGGAAAGGGCCAAGAGAUGUCCAGGACAUCCCCGUUGGACCACACAUGGAGCUUGCUGUCUCUCAAGCUGGAACCUUCUUAUUCACUGAAGGUCUCUUCGUUAACAUGUGAGCAAGCCUUUCCUGAGAAUGGGGAAGUUAGAGGUGCAAAGGAGUUGCCUCCACCUUUGCUGCAGAUCCUUCUCAAGGACUCUCCUUAAAGGAUUUUACCACACCCAAGAGUUAGCUGUCCAUUCACCAUCACACACACACACACACACACAGAGAGAGAGAGAGAGAGAGAGAAAGAGAGAGAGACAGAGACACAGAGACAGAGACAGAGACAGAGACUGAGAAAAAGCAUCCCUCUGUUCACACACAAGAGCAAGCUCAUGACAGACAGGAAGACCGUCCCGGACUUUUCUGCUUGCAGAAGCUAAACAUCCUUACCCAUCUAAUAGGAGAAACUCAUACUUAGAACUUAUUUCUAUUCUGUGGUUUCCUCACUCAAAUCACCAUUCUUUAUCUGCUGUUUGACAGAGGCAACAGCACCCCCUGGACAAAAAAAAAGCUUUCUUAAGGUUGAGGAUGAGGAAAUGAUGGUCCCUAAUGGGCAAAAUGGGAGUGUAAGGUUUCCAUGGAAGGAAGUGUACUGAGAUGCAAAACUCAUAACGUAAACUGGUGCGUGCCUGUAACCCCUGCACACAGAGAACGAGUCGCAUCAGUCUGACUGCUGAGAAGGAUUGUGAAUUUGAGGUCAGUCUAGGCUAUAUAAAAAUUGUUUUUUAAAAAUCCCAUAAAUAAAUGGAUGUUUU
rnacentral:lncRNA from 1 species